AGAGCCCAUGCGCGGCGCGGGGGAGGUUGGAGGUCAUCCGAGGCAUCCCCAGGAAGCCCUUGUGAUGUGUCCACCGGCACAAAACCUGAAUUCUUCUCCGUGCUUUCUAAAGAAAUUAUUUAAGUUUUCAUUAAAAUGCAAAAAGAAAGGGUUGGAACUGAGGCCUGAAGUCUGUCUGAAAGGAGCUGUUGCAGAGUAAAUUUGGCUUUCUUAGUGUUAGUUGUUAUUUUUUCCACCAUAUAACAACCACAGGCAAACUGCGGGUAUUGUUACUUAGGGUUUGUUGAAGGCUGACUCAGAACAUUAACCCACAGAAUCAUAGAAUCAUUGAGGUUGGAAAAGACUAAGAUCAGAUAGUCCAACCACCAUCAUACCCACUGAACACGAUCCUUAUACAUGUACGUACAAAGGCUGGACCACAACAUCAGAGGCAUACACUGGCGGAACUGCAGUAGAGACUGAACCUUCCCACCAAAUAUCCUGUUGCAUGUUGUUGCUGUGUGACAGUUGGCAGCAGAAGGGCACUCUGACAAAAUGGCGUCUGACGUGGAAGUGCAUAUGAAACAAAGCUGCGUCACUGAACUCUUCCAUGAGGAAAAUAUGGCACCUAUUGACAGUCAUCAAUAUUUGCUGAACGUUUAUGGAGACCAGACACACAUAAAUCCCUCAGCUUCUUCUGUAUCACUCAUCAAUUGCCCUAAUGGCUUUAUAGUUAAAAUGAGCGGCAACACUUUUACAGUAUUUGAAUGGUUUGCUGCUGCAAAGAUGGCAGACUGAAGAUUUAAAGAUGGAGAUCUCUUACAGGCUUGCUCUGAUUUAGCUUUAAGUAGAUGCCUGGUGAACAGGUAAGCAUUAUUUAAAUAAUGACACUUCAGUAGUGAAUUAACUUUUUCUUGUGCAAUUAAGUAAUAGUCUAUCACAUUGCUCACCUACUAAAUUGUCUUUUUGCUAUCUUCAUUAUUACAUAUUAGUCACCCACAUUAAUUACUCAGGCAAACCAUACAGUGAGUGACUCCUUUCAAGGACCAGGGCUAAAUCCAUUCCAUGCAGCAGCUGAUAGCAUUGGUGAGAAGAGAGGGAAUGGUUAUAAUUGUACUCAGGGAUAUUUCAUACAUUCAGUGUGAUGUGGAAUGAUAAAACUGGAGGGCCUGGCUGAAGUGUGGGUAGCUGCUGCUUGGUGACUGGCUGAUCAUCAGUGUCAAAUGGUGAGCAAUUGCAUUAUGCAUCACUUGUUUUAUAUAUACAUAUGUACAAUUGUUGUUACUGUCAUUAUUGCUCAUGUUAUUGUUUCCCUUCCUUUUCUGCCCUAUUAAACUGUUUUCAUCCCAGCUUAUAAGUUUUGCCUUUUUCUAAUUCUCCCUCCCACAUCCGAAUGUUGGGGAAUGAGUGAACAGCUGCGUGGUACUGAGCUGCCUGACAGGUUAAAU